rnacentral:rRNA from 1 species
UACGGGGGGUGCGAGCGUUGUCCGGAAUCACUGGGCGUAAAGGGCGCGUAGGCGGCCUGGUAAGUCGGGGGUGAAAUCCUGCGGCUUAACCGCAGGGCUGCCUUCUAAACUGUCAGGCUCGAGCACGGUAGAGGCAGAUGGAAUUCCCGGUGUAGCGGUGGAAUGCGUAGAGAUCGGGAAGAACACCGGUGGCGAAGGCGGUCUGCUGGGCAGUUGCUGACACUGAGGCGCGACAGCGUGGGGAGCAAACAGG